AUUGAACGCUGGCGGCAUGCUUUACACAUGCAAGUCGAACGGCAGCGCGGGGCAACCUGGCGGCGAGUGGCGAACGGGUGAGUAAUAUAUCGGAACGUACCCAGAAGUGGGGGAUAACGUAGCGAAAGUUACGCUAAUACCGCAUACGAUCUACGGAUGAAAGUGGGGGACCUUCGGGCCUCAUGCUUUUGGAGCGGCCGAUAUCUGAUUAGCUAGUUGGUAGGGUAAAGGCCACCAAGGCGACGAUCAGUAGCUGGUCUGAGAGGACGACCAGCCACACUGGGACUGAGACACGGCCCAGACUCCUACGGGAGGCAGCAGUGGGGAAUUUUGGACAAUGGGCGCAAGCCUGAUCCAGCAAUGCCGCGUGAGUGAAGAA
rnacentral:rRNA from 1 species